rnacentral:rRNA from 4 species
AGAGUUUGAUCCUGGCUCAGGACGAACGCUGGCGGCGUGCCUAACACAUGCAAGUCGAGCGAUGAAGUUCCUUCGGGAACGGAUUAGCGGCGGACGGGUGAGUAACACGUGGGCAACCUGCCUUAUAGAGGGGAAUAGCCUUCCGAAAGGAAGAUUAAUACCGCAUAAGAUUGUAGCUUCGCAUGAAGCAGCAAUUAAAGGAGCAAUCCGCUAUAAGAUGGGCCCGCGGCGCAUUAGCUAGUUGGUGAGGUAACGGCUCACCAAGGCGACGAUGCGUAGCCGACCUGAGAGGGUGAUCGGCCACAUUGGGACUGAGACACGGCCCAGACUCCUACGGGAGGCAGCAGUGGGGAAUAUUGCACAAUGGGGGAAACCCUGAUGCAGCAACGCCGCGUGAGUGAUGACGGCCUUCGGGUUGUAAAGCUCUGUCUUUGGGGACGAUAAUGACGGUACCCAAGGAGGAAGCCACGGCUAACUACGUGCCAGCAGCCGCGGU